UAUAAUAUAGCUCAGUGGUACAGCACUUGCCUAGCAUACAAGAGGCCCUGAGUUCAAUCCCCAGUACCAUGA
rnacentral:tRNA from 1 species